UACGGUAGGGACCAAGCGUUGUCCGGAAUCAUUGGGCGUAAAGAGGCGUGUAGGCGGCUUGUUAAGUCUUGCGUGAAAUCUCGGGGCGUCAACCCCGAGCGGUCGUGAGAAACUGGCAGGCUAGAGUGCGGGAGAGGAGAGUGGAAUUCCUGGUGGUAGCGGUGGAAAAUGCGCAGAUAUUAGGAGGAACACCGGUGGCGGAAGGCGC
rnacentral:rRNA from 1 species